rnacentral:rRNA from 1 species
CCUACGGGAGGCAGCAGUGGGGAAUAUUGGGCAAUGGGCGCAAGCCUGACCCAGCAACGCCGCGUGAAGGAAGAAGGCUCUCGGGUUGUAAACUUCUUUUAUCAGGGACGAAGCAAGUGACGGUACCUGAUGAAUAAGCCACGGCUAACUACGUGCCAGCAGCCGCGGUAAUACGUAGGUGGGAAGCGUUAUCCGGAUUUACUGGGUGUAAAGGGCGUGUAGGCGGGAAAGCAAGUCAGAUGUGAAAACCAUGGGCUCAACCUGUGGCCUGCAUUUGAAACUGUUUUUCUUGAGUACUGGAGAGGCAGACGGAAUUCCUAGUGUAGCGGGGAAAUGCGUAGAUAUUAGGAGGAACACCAGUGGCGAAGGCGGUCUGCUGGACAGCAACUGACGCUGAGGCGCGAAAGCGUGGGGAGCAAACAAGAUUAGAUACCCCAGUAGUC